AACGAACGCUGGCGGCAGGCCUAACACAUGCAAGUCGAAGGAGAAGUUUCUCUUCGGAGAGAUAGACACUGGCGCACGGGUGAGUAACGCGUGGGAAUCUACCCCGGGGUGGGGGACAACCGCUGGAAACGGCGGCUAAUACCGCAUACGCCUCAAGAGGGAAAGCUUUAGCGCCCUGGGAUGAGCCCGCGUUAGAUUAGGUAGUUGGUGGGGUAAUGGCCUACCAAGCCUUCGAUCUAUAGCUGGUCUGAGAGGAUGAUCAGCCACACUGGGACUGAGACACGGCCCAG
rnacentral:rRNA from 1 species